ACGCUCGACACACGAGGCAGCAGUGGGGAAUAUUGCACAAUGGGGGAAACCCUGAUGCAGCGACGCCGCGUGAAGGAAGAAGUAUCUCGGUAUGUAAACUUCUAUCAGCAGGGAAGAAAAUGACGGUACCUGACUAAGAAGCCCCGGCUAACUACGUGCCCGCAGCCGCGGUAAUCUGAGCGGGCGUGGCAAGGC
rnacentral:rRNA from 1 species